rnacentral:tRNA from 2 species
GGGGGCGGAGGGGGACUGGUGUCUCCGGCGGUCUUCAAAACCGUGCAGCCCGGCUAAAACCCGGGUGGGUGGGUUCGAUUCCCACACGCUCCCGCCA